UGUGACGUCACCAGCAGCGACCGAAAGUAAACUCAAACAUGGAGUGGUUUGUGUCUAAGGUGAACUGUCUUACUGCGAAUCUGCUCCAGAGAAAUGCGACAGAUUAUGAAGAUGUGAUAGAGAAACUGUUCUCUGAAGUCCCGAAACCUGAAGAUGUCCCUAAAAUACCAGAUCCACAGCUUGAAAAAUGUGCUGUUCACUUGUGGAACUGGACUGCCACCAAGAGUGUGGAUACCAGCAUAAGUAACAAGGAGAAAGCUAAAGUGAGAUCGGUGGCGUGCAGUCUGCUGUACUGCUGUGAGCCGGCUAAUCCAGCAGAGGGUGUUAUCCGCAAGCAGAUUCUGGUGAGCAAUACUCUCCGAGCUCAUCAUUGCUUAAAAGCAUAAGGAAUUGCAUUUUUG
rnacentral:lncRNA from 1 species